rnacentral:lncRNA from 1 species
CCCAGCUCUAUCUGCAGAGGGCUUCACCCAGAACCCAGGUCCUGGCUUCUAAACAAGGCUCUCUAGUCAAGAAACCAGGGCUUCUUGGAGAAUGUGGCAAUUCCAGGGCUGAAGCACAGACUGCAGAACAAGGCUGUCCAAAAGAACUACAGUGCAAGCCACGCAGACCACAACCUCCAGCACACAAGCCACAUAAACAACUUCCCAACACAUAAGCCACGCAGACCACAACUUCCCAACACGUGAGCCAAGCAGACAACCGCCCAACACACAAGCCACAUAAACAACUUCCCAACACAUAAGGCACGCAGACCACAACCUCCCAACAGAUAAGCCACACAGACCACAGCAACUUUCCAACACACAAGCCAUGCAAACCACAAACUCCCAAAAGGCGAGCCAAGCAACCGCCCCACACGUGAGCCACGCAGACCGCAACCGCCCCACACGUGCGCCACGCAGACCACAACCUCCCAACACGUGAGCCACACAAACCCACAACCUCCCAACACAUAAGCCACACAGACCACAGCAACUUCCCAACACGCAAGCCACGCAAACUGCAACCUCCCAACACACGAGCCACGCAAACCACAGCAACUUCCCAACACAUAAGCCACAGAGACCACAGCAACUUCCCAACACACGAGCCACGCAGACUGCAACCUCCCAACACACAAGCCACACAAACCACAACCUCCCAACACAUAAGCCACGCAGACCACAGCAACUUCCCAACAUGCAAGCCACGUGAACCACAACCUCCCAACACACAAGCCACGCAGCCACAACCUCCCAACACACGGGCCACACAGACUGCAACCUUCCAACACGCAAGCCACACAGACCACUGCAACUUCCCAACACGUGAGCCACGCAGACAACGACCUCCCAACACGUGAGCCAC